GAAGAGGAAGCAGAGGUCACCAACGAUUCUAAACUUCACAUCAAAAACUACUCGGACUGGUGUAUAUACCUCACUUAUAGAUGUACGUACAUCGAUAACAGCAAGCUGAAGCCUCUUAAGGAGCUCCUCAACUGGAUCAAUUCAUUGUGGAAAAAGAGGCUCCAUGUGAAGAAGUCUUAUUGGGCCAAUUAUGCUCGGAUGUGUCAUGGCGGCAUGCAGCCCAGCUGCUAAUAUUGGAGGCGGAGGGAUGACGUGAGACUGUCGCCAAGCUCUUGGCCUCUCCACCUAAGCACAGGUUAGCAAGUGCCGCAUUCAAUCUCUUCUGCUAAAGGUCGAUGUCAGGUUACAACCUAUUUGCAGGAUAAACUAUGCAUGUAAUAUCCACUCACCGCCUAUUCUUUCAUUCGAAUGUGUAAACUUGACAAUUGUAAACGUCAAGGGUUUGUAUUGGCUUUUACGGUAACAAACUGGGUAUGCUGUAUAUAUAUUACUCUGUCAUAUAGUGCUCUUGAUAUGCAUUCCCUAUAAAAAUCCCACUUUAACCUUGGAAAGCUCAUAACAUGACUGUAAUGACAUCUGACAGGAAUGAAAUGUUUAACUUAUGCCUUGUUAGAUUACUGCCUCACAUGUCUGUAUGUUUGCCCUUGACUUUGAUUAGUCUGUCACCACAAAAUAUCUACAUACAUCCACUGUGAUGAAUGCAUAGGGGGAAAAGAGCUAGUUCACCUGAAGGAUCAUUCCUAUGGCAACGAUUCCAAACAUCAGAUAUAGGACACAAGCUGUCAAGUUUACCUUGGUGCAUCAACGGUGUUGAAAUGCCGUCAGACCAUGACAAUCAGUUCUUGGUCGACGACUUUGUAGUGAUUCCCUUCAAGCUGUGUUUGCUUCUGAAACAAGGCAGUUUCCCAAAAUAAAACUCCUCUUUGUGACCUUCCCUUUCCACGGAGUACUGCAAAUCCCUAUUCUCUGCCAACAAGGACUCAUUACUCCCUGUUUUAAAGGGAGCUUUCUGGUCGAGGAGGCCUCAUUACAGCUGGAAAAGACACCCAUGGGACAUGCAAGAAAAAACAGCGAAGACCCCCCCUUGAGUAAUAAGCCUGCAAAACUUCUGCAAAGAACUUGCCGAGUGUAAUGCGUGCAGCCCCCCUGCUGUUCCAUAGGAGAGAUGUCUUUGAGGUGUGUAAAUUAUAUGGCUGAGUUGUCAGGAAAAGUUCCAUUGCACACAAACUGAUUAGCACUGCUCAGACGUUUAGCACAGCAAAGCGGAGAAUUGGACACCUUUGCAGUCAAACGCUACAAAGACAAUAUUUAUCCAAAUGUCGGCGCUAAUGCAUCUCGCCUGUCUAUCAAUUAAAAACUUGCUCUGUAAAUUGGAAUGACUCCCCAGUGAAUACACGUUUUUGAUAAUAACUGUGCGUCUGAAUCCAAAACAAUAGUUCCAACAAAGUCAAGUUAUUUUUAGUUGACCUCGAUUGCGUGACCCGCCGGGCAGCACUCAAGACACAGCUGCUCCCUUUCUUUGGUCCAAAAAAAGUCUAAAAUAAUAAACUUUGGGCUUGUAGUUUACUUGAGAAGAAACAUUAAGGGAUUCUAAAACUCACAAUUGAGU